rnacentral:rRNA from 1 species
CUACCCAUGAGCAGGAUGAAGCGAAAGUAAAAUUUCGUGGAGGUCCGAACCCACGAGCGUUGAAAAGCUCGGGGAUGACUUGUGGGUAGCGGUGAAAUUCCAAUCGAGCCCGGAGAUAGCUGGUUCUCCCCGAAAUAGCUUUAGGGCUAGCCUCAAGGUGAGAGAUACGGAGGUAGAGCACUGAAUGUCCUAGGGGGUAUUGCACCUACCGAAGACUAUCAAACUCCGAAUGCCGUCAUCUUAUACUUGGGAGUCAGACUGUGGGUGAUAAGAUUCAUAUUCGAAAGUGAAACAGCCCAGAUCGUCAGCUAAGGUCCCUAAAUGUAAGUUAAGUGGAAAAGGAUGUGGGAUUGCACAGACAACCAAGAUGUUGGCUUAGAAGCAGCCACUCAUUCAAAGAGUGCGUAAUAGCUCACUGGUCGAGGGAUCCUGGGCCGAAGAUGGCCGGAGCUAAAACUUACGACCGAGGUUACGGCAUCAGUAAUGAGGGGUAGGGGAGCGUCCCAUACGGGUGGAAGCAUGACGGUAAGGACAUGUGGACAGGAUGGGAGUGAGAAUGUGGGCAUGAGUAGCGAGAUGUGGGUGAGAAGCCCACAGGCCGUAAACCCAAGGUUUCCAGGGGAAGGUUCGUCCGCCCUGGGUUAGUCGGGACCUAAGCUGAGGCCGAAAGGCGUAGGUGAUGGACAACAGGUUGAUAUUCCUGUACUACCGAUAACCGUUUGAGAGAAGGGAUGACACAGU